rnacentral:rRNA from 1 species
ACCAGAAGUAGUUAGCCUAACCGCAAGGAGGCGACUACACGUGAGAUCAUCGACUCGGGGUGA